GACGAACGCUGGCGGCGUGCUUAACACAUGCAAGUCGAACGGAAAGGCCCUGCUUUUUUGGGGUUCUCGAGUGGCGAACGGGUGAGUAACACGUGAGUAACCUGCCCUUUACUUUGGGAUAACUUCAGGAAACUGGGGCUAAUACCGGAUAGGAGCUCCUGCUGCCUGGUGGGGGUUGGAAAGUUUCGGCGUUUUGUGAUGGACUCGCGGCUUAUCAGCUUGUUGGUGGGGUAGUGGCUUACCAAGGCUUUGACGGGUAGCCGGCCUGAGAGGGUGACCGGCCACAUUGGGACUGAGAUACGGCCCAGACUCCUACGGGAGGCAGCAGUGGGGAAUAUUGCACAAUGGGCGGAAGCCUGAUGCAGCAACGCCGCGGGCGGGAUGACGGCCUUCGGGGUGUAAACCGCGUUCGCCUGUGACGAAGCGUGAGUGACGGUAAUGGGUAAAGAAGCACCGGCUAACUACGUG
rnacentral:rRNA from 1 species